ACCUCUAGCAUUACUAGUAUUAGAGGCACUGCCUGCCCAGUGACAUAUGUUUAACGGCCGCGGUAUCCUGACCGUGCAAAGGUAGCAUAAUCAUUUGUUCCUUAAAUAGGGACUUGCAUGAAUGGCUUAACGAGGGUUUAACUGUCUCUUACUUUCAAUCAGUGAAAUUGACCUUUCCGUGAAGAGGCGGAAAUAACUAAAUAAGACGAGAAGACCCUAUGGAGCUUCAAUUAACUAAUCUAGGCACUCUAAUAACCUAUUUCUCCGGAAUACAAAAUCAAGCCUUCAGAUUAUAAAUUUUGGUUGGGGUGACCUCGGAGUAAAAAAUAACCUCCGAAUGAUACUAGUUCAGACUUGACCCGUCCAAACUUCUAUUCAUUAAUUGACCCAAACUUAUUGAUCAACGGAACAAGUUACCCUAGGGAUAACAGCGCAAUUCUACUUAAGAGUCCAUAUCGACAGUAGAGUUUACGACCUCGAUGUUGGAUCAGGACAUCCAAAUGGUGUAACCGCUAUUAAUGGUUCGUUUGUUCAACGAUUAAAGUC
rnacentral:rRNA from 1 species